rnacentral:rRNA from 1 species
GACGAACCGUGCGAACGUUGUUCGGAAUCACUGGGCUUAAAGGGCGCGUAGGCGGGCUGUCAAGUCCGGGGUGAAAUCUUUCGGCUCAACCGGAAAAGUGCCUUGGAUACUGAUGGUCUGGAGGGAGGUAGGGGUAUGUGGAACUUCCGGUGGAGCGGUGAAAUGCGUUGAUAUCGGAAGGAACGCCGGUGGCGAAAGCGACGUACUGGACCUCUUCUGACGCUGAGGCGCGAAAGCUAGGGGAGCGAACAGG